rnacentral:rRNA from 1 species
GACGGGGGGGGGGGCAAGUGUUCUUCGGAAUGACUGGGCGUAAAGGGCACGUAGGCGGUGAAUCGGGUUGAAAGUGAAAGUCGCCAAAAAGUGGCGAAAUGCUCUCGAAACCAAUUCACUUGAGUGAGACAGAGGAGAGUGGAAUUUCGUGUGUAGGGUGAAAUGCGUAGAGAUCCGGAGGAACACCAGUGGCGAAGGCGACACGCUGGGCCAUACCUGACGCUAAAGCGCGACAGCAUGGGGAGCAAACGGG